AAAAGAAGAAAAGAAACAGAAUAGGAAAGGACGAAACAGAGAAGAAACAGGGGAGAAAGAAGAAAAGAAAGAAAAGGAAAAUUUGAAGGUUUAAGGUUUAAAGCUUUGAUUGCUAACAAAGAACCCGAGGCAUCAGCAUCAAAGGGAAAGGAAAAGAUUAUCGAGGAGUAAACUCGAGAAAAUCACGGUCGAUAGAAGUCAAAGGUCCCGGUUUAGCAUCCAGAUCAAUCCCGACUUCAGCAUAAUUUUGGUGAUGUAUAUUUUCUUUGUUGACAUUUUACAAAACGUGUCCAUUGGAUCACCUCAGAACUCACACUAUCUAGCUUCAAUCUCGGUAGACUUUUAAAUCAUUCUAGACACGAUUAUGUGGCAUAUGUAUAGGUUUUGAUGUGAAUAAGUGUUUAU